GGCACCUUUCCUGCCCUGAUUGAUGUUUAUGAAUGUACUACUUUCCCCUGGGCUGCAGUCAUCAAUAGUCAAUGAGAAGAAAGGCUGGCAUUUUUGGAAAUGCUUUGCUGCCAGGUUUGAGCUUUGCUGGCUAAAGUUGGAGAUGAUGGCGGGAGUUUCAAAGGCUAUUUGAGAUAUACUCAAAAUUUAUGGUAAGUUUUCAUGAAAUUUUCAUUUUUAAUUUAAACAAUGGAUAU
rnacentral:lncRNA from 1 species